UACGGAGGGUGCAAGCGUUGCUCGGAAUUAUUGGGCGUAAAGGGCAGGUAGGUGGUCUCAUUUGUCUGGGGUGAAAUCCUUGAGCUUAACUCAAGAAGUGCCUCGGAAACGGUGAGACUAGAGUUUUGGAGAGGGUCGCGGAAUUCCCGGUGUAGCGGUGAAAUGCGUAGAUAUUGGGAGGAACACCAGUGGCGAAGGCGGCUCACUGGACCGGAACUGACGCUGAGGCGCGAAAGCGUGGGGAGCAAACGGG
rnacentral:rRNA from 1 species